UACGUAGGGACCAAGCGUUGUUCGGAUUUACUGGGCGUAAAGGGCGCGUAGGCGGCAAUUCAAGUCAUCUGUGAAAUCUCCGGGCUUAACUCGGAACGGUCAGAUGAUACUGCUUUGCUAGAGUGCGGAAGGGGCAAUCGGAAUUCUUGGUGUAGCGGUGAAAUGCGUAGAUAUCGUCUGGAACGCCGAAGGUGAAAACAGCUCGCUGGGGCUGCGCUGACGCUGAGACACGAAAGCCAGGGGAGCGAACGGG
rnacentral:rRNA from 1 species